rnacentral:lncRNA from 1 species
AAUUGUCGUCUAUACAAUUAUGAUGGGAAGAAAUAAUUGGAGGGAAAUUUUAAUUGAUAUUUUCCCACCUUAUGGGUUGAUGUUUAAUCAUGAAAAUCCCCAGGAAAAUUAUUAACUCAUCUUGUUUAAAAAUCCCAGUGUUAGCCUCCAAAUUUAGCAUUACUUGAACUGAAUUUGGGGUAAGGCAAAUUUACAAAGCAUUUGGAAUUGAUCUAUAUUACCGUGAAAAACCAGUUACUAU